GGCUAUAUAGUGUAGUAGUAACACAUUAAGUAUUCUUAAUAUUUCUUUAUCUUCGGUUCGAAUCCGAAUAUAGCUC